UGAUCUCAUCAAUCUAGCGGGAGAGACAGGAUAACCUGUCCGAGAGUAUAGCGCCACUAUGACUCCGCCGGAAAAAUUACUUUAAAAAUCGCCAAAAAUUACUUGGAGCAAAGGGCAGUCGGCGGAGCUUCGCCAAGGCUGGCGCAGUCGGUUUUGACCUGUAGCAGAGAACCAAUUCUGGAGAACAGCCUCACUUCUUUGAUUGAAUACUCACAUAAUGCACUGGAACAUGACAUGAGAUUAAGUGUAUAAAGCCAAAUGUCCCGUUUAAAGUUUGACAUUUGCAAUAGCAUUCUAUUUAAAAGGUUUAAUAAUGAUAGAAUGAAGACCGCAAUAAAAGAGACCUCUACUUAGCUCAGCAAUUCUUACCUUUCUUACCUAUUUGAUGAAGAUGUCUUUUGAAAGGUGUACUGCAAGGAACAAAAUGUUUGUAAAUUCUGCUUUUACCAAGGUGGAUAAUUACUGUACCUUCCUCAUGGAAAAAGUUUUAUUUAAAGUGUUACUUCUCAUUGAAUACUAUCAAAAAGGGAAAAAAAAAUGACCUAAACUUUUGAGAUAGAUUUGGCUCUAGUAAGUAUUUAGAUAUAUCACUUGCAUAUCUGGGAGAAGAAAUAAGAGACUAUCAUCAGUACAUUCCCAUCUACUAAAAAAUUUUAUUUUACACAUGUCAAGGGAUUACUUAUAACUUCCAUUUUAUUACUAAUCG
rnacentral:antisense_RNA from 1 species